CUUUGUCUUUACUUUUUAUUGUGUUCAAGAUUUAAAAUCCUUGUGUCUGAAGCAAAAUUUUGUCUUUUUCCCCAGAGUUUUAUCCUUCAGUGGUAGCAAAUGAGUGUAAUUUAUUAAUCUCCCAAAAAAGUGCCUGCCAUUAUGCUAGGCACUUGGCACAAAUACAAAAGAAUAGUGUGGAACUGAAAGUCAUACCAUAUAGGUCCCUAUUCUGAAGGAGCUGCUGCACCGUAGCUACAGUCCAGCUCAAAUGGAGCUGGCCGUUAGGUCCAAAUCUAUGGCUUUUGCAAAAAUUGCCAACCCCUUCUUCACCUCCUGCCGCUGGUUCAGAGAACCCCGAAAUGCCGCAGUGGGAUGAACACCUUCUCAGAAUUUGAGAGGCUCCACUGGAACUGCUUGGGGCUAUUUCAGCCUGUCCACCUUGACCACUUGACUAGUCUGUCCAGUAGGUGGCAGUUUUUUGUGUGCAACUUCAUCUGAAAUUGUGUCUGUUCUUGGAGUGCUGGUGCUUUCCUCUGAUUUCCUAUUUUCAUGCCACUCAAGGCUUCCACUAAGUUCCUUUCUUCAUUCUCUUCUCUCGUUCUCAUAUCUGGGUGUUUCCAGUUCUUAUCUUUUACACGGACCUGCUUAUAGAAUCUUCUCAGUUUUAAGAAUGACACUAUAAAAUAAUGAAAGAGUCCUUGACUUAGAAGGCAUGCUGGGCCCCUUUCUUGCUGAUGUUACCUUUUAAAAGCCACCUGAGGUCUCUAACUGCAGCUUCAGCUAAGAGUGAGGGCGUUGGGGUAGUGGAGUGGGUUUGAGUUCUCAUGUCAUCUGGCUGUGAGACCUUGUGCAAGUUACUGAACCUCCCUGAGCUCACUUUCCUCAUCUGUGAAAUGGGAAUAAUGGCUGUCUCUCUGCCUAUCUAUCCAACUUAAUAAUAGAAAAGUUUUCUUCUACUUAUGGCAUAUAGUCAACACCAAAUGUCUGUAAGAGAUGAAGUGCUUCUCACCAGUCCCUACUAGGCACUGGCAAUGUUUUGACUCUAAUGAUUUCAACAAGAGAAUUCUCAAUUUAUACAUUAACAUCCACUUGGCAUUGUCUGUGUUUGUACAACCUGUGUGCUGGCUUGGGUUGUUUACUGAUUUAUCUUUAAAAGUAUAGCAUAAUGGUUUGGCACUCAGGCCUUGAAGCUAGAUUACCAAAAUUUAAAUUCUAGCACUGCCCUUAUUAUAGCCCUAGGAUCUUGGGGAAGUUACUUAACCUCUCUGAGUUUAUUUCCUCAUCUUAAAAAUAGGCUUACUACAGAGUAUUUACCCAUAGGUCAGUUGUGAGAAUCAAACAAGCUAAUUACAUGCAAAGCAAUUAGAAAAGUGGUUUGAAACAGAGCAGUGUUAGCUAUUAUUAUUACCUUUCUUAUGGCAUCUAUUUAUUGGAAUAGCUCUAAAAGCCAUGGGGUAUGUGUGUGCGGGUGUGCACGCAUGUGUGCAUGUGCACGCAUGCAUGUACUCAUGGCUUGCAGAACUCUCCUCGCCUCUUAGUCUCUCCAGGGAUUAAAGAUCACCUUCUUUUUGAAAGACAGCCAGGAUAUUUAUUUCAGUGGACGCUUUGACACCCAGAAUUUGUAUCAGAAUCCUUGUUUCUACUGAGUCAAUCUUGCCUUCAAACUUCUAAUGCUUCUUCUGUGAAGCCAUAACCCCAUCAGUCCUCCAGGAAAAGAAUUAAGUACAUACUCAUUGAGCAUCUCCUGUGCAAAGGCAGUGGGCUGUGCAAGCCAGCAUACGUUCUCCCUAAAGACAGAGUAAAUUAAGGAGAGAACUAGAAAGGGAAGCAGAGUGAGAAAAGGCAAAAAAAGAGAGAGAAUAAAACUUCUCUGGAAUUUUUCCAUAUUCAAUGUCUCUUUCUUUUGUGUCUCUCCUUAGAACAUGGAGGCGACCACCAGAUAUUUUGGAUUUUUCUGGUAUGCUCAUUUUCAUAUAUUACUGCUAUGGUCCCUAUAACAUGUCUUGUUACUGGGCCACAAUUUCUGAAUUGGGGGUUUGGAAAAAUAUGAUCAGUCAAAGGAACAGAAUCUUUUGCUUUCAUUAUUUGAAAAAUGAAUACCUCCUCUCAAAGAUAGGGUGGGAGGUAUUCCUGGAGCAGGCUGGAUUUUUCCCUUUGGGAACCAUGGCAACACGUUGGGUGUUUUGCACACAAACCUUGAGCCUAGGCACUGCUGCAUCUGGCAGCCGGCCCUGACUACAGCCUCACGUGACCACCCAUUCACAGGCCCCAGAGCCAGGUUUCUCUUGCUUCCCGUGUUGCUCUUUGCUCCUCUUCAUGUUUGCCUUCUGCCUUCUUGUCUUCUCUUUCUCAUCUUCUUCCUCCACCGUUACAGAGAGGUCAUCCUGGAGUGUUUGGGCUGCAUUAGGUGCUGCCAACAUCCCCAGAGCACCAGGCUUCAUAUUUUAUGCAGAGAGAAAGCUGCACAAAGUCUUGAUGCAGUAUUUUGCUUCACCAAAGUAAAAAUUUCAAAAUAACUCAAGAAAGAAAAGUAAAAAGUAUCAUACACCUGUUCUGUCAGGCACUGAGUGAGUGCUGGUGACAGACACACAGAGCCCACCCCUAAGGUGCUUUCAGUCCAAUAGGGGAGGCAGACAGGGACACAGGCUGAGUGAUCCAGUGUGGUAAGUAUUAGGACAGGGCUGGGAACCUAACCUAGCACUGGGGAGGGAGGGGGGUCCAGGAAGUCCUCUAAAAAAGGGUGCCCCAAACUCAGCCUUGAAAAAUAAGUGGUAGCUGGACAAUGAGCUGGAGGAGAGAGAAAGAGCCUUAUCUUAUUUCUCAACCUGAUAAUGAAGAUAUUAUGAUCUUCAUUUUUAUCGAUGAAGAAACUGUGGCUCAGAGGCUUCAGUUACUCAAAAUCAGCCACUUACUAAAUAGUAAAGCCAGGGUACAAACCCAGGACUUCAGCUGUCAAGGCAACUACGCUGUGUUCUAGGCCCACUGUGUCUUAUUUCUGAAAAUGACUUUGAAAACAAACCAAAAACAUUUUUCUCUAACAGGGACUCGAAAAAAAUGCUGUACAGUCCUCUUCAUGUUACAUCAGCUGUUAAGUGCCUGGAUCGACACUUUAGGCCUGGUCAUUCUGGCCACAUAAAUAUGGGCACAGUCUCGACUUGGUUCAGGUCCAGCUGCUUCUCUCACCCUCCCUGAAGUGUAAUUGUUCCAUCAGAGCAUUUGCCACAUAAUGGUCAGUGGCUCAGGAGAUGUUUUAAGGCAGUUUCUUUGUCCUUCAUAUAGAUUUACAGCUGUUCCACACUGAAUAAGACCAAACUGCAGACAGGACUAAGAUUCCAGCUUAGUUGCUGAGUAUGGUUGUUCAGACUGCCUGCUGUACCAGUGCGGCUAGCUAAGGGCAUGAGAGGGGCUGAUCCUACCCUGCAUUCUGCUUACCCGGCCGUGUGCCCUGGCGUGGGGUUUGUCUGCCCACUGAAGCCUCUGAGCUUCAGAGGGCAGAGAAAGGGGCAGAGAAAGGGGCACUUGUUUUUCUAACUGAUGUGCAAAGCUUCCAAGCCCAACAUUUUUCGAUAUAUGAUGUAUUUUGUACUAUGGUGGCCAUUUCUCCAUCUGUACAUUUUAUAAAUUGACAUCAUUCAGAGUCUAAUAAAAUUUUCAUAACAGGCCUCUAUCAAAAGCCAGUUCUGUAUUUUUGUGGAUUUUCCUCAUGGAUUGGUUAAGAUGAUAUAAAUGGAAAUUUUAAAAAUUUACUUUUUUGCACUCACAAAUGUGUUACUUUUGGCUGUUGCCCAGCUCAGUCUAGUUUGGGAACUCCGAUUCCCCAGGAAUUAAGAAAAACGUUCCUAGUUUCCCUCUGAUUGCUGGAUUAGCACAACUUCCUUCAGCUCACAGCUGAAUUCCAGCCCCAAGGAAGAAAUGUCUUAGACAGCGAACUCCGAGCCUGGAGCCUGUCAGUAGUUGUGUCAUGUGUUUGCAUUAGCUGAACAAAAAGCAGGCAGACUUUCCGGCCUUGCUCCCCCUCCACCCCGCACCCCUCUCUGGAGAGGCCAGUUAAUGUCUAGACAGUGUCUGCUUGGCACUGCGCCUUUUAAGCACAAUCUGUACAGUUCUGCAGCUCUGACUUAGGUUCUUCUCCUCACUCGUUCCCCCCGUUUUUUCGGUCAGCCUUAACCUGUCUCAGGGGAACUGACAUGACCGCACACAUAGGAAACAGGUGAGUGAAUUUAUGAGACUGUCAGGAUUCCGCUGUCUUGAGAGGUUUGGAGUUGAGAAAAUACCAGCAGUGCUGCCUGAAGCUGUGGCUAUUUACAGAGGUUUCUGAUGUGAGCUGGCUCCAAACAACCCUCCACUGAUUGGCCAGAGAUGGGCAGGAGCAAAUAAUCCAGGACAGACAGUGGCACUCAAUUAAUAUGCCUCGUGCCUUCCAUAGGUAGCAUGAAUUUGGGCAAGUCAGUGGACCCCUCAUCUGCAAAAUAUGGGGGUUAGAGUAGGUGAGCUCCAGAACCCAGCUCUGAAAUCCUGUCCAUAAAAAAGAAGGCAGACAUUUUAAGGUGGAUUAUCAAAAUAUUCUACUUAACCCCUUUCCCAUUUGCCCCGAGAAUACUCGCUGGCGGCGUUUGUGGCUACAACGUUUACCCCAAAAUAAUUCGCAGAUUACAGUCCAAACCUUACCUUCAAAGGUUGCCAUGAACUAUCUCGCUUUUAUUGUUAUUUUCACAUCUCUCUAGUUGAAUGGAGUAAGAAUAUUUGAUUAGCUCUUGUCUUAAUUGAUAGCCCAGGGAGGAGCAGUUUGAAAGAGAAGCUGGUGCAGGAAUGGAAAAAGAGAAUGAGUAAAAGCAGGAGGCAUCUUGUGUCCCUUACUGCCUCCUGCAUAUGUUGAGUAUGAUAUAAACAGUACAGCAUGUGGCACUGAACACUUCUCGUGCCCAGGAAUCUCAAAUGCUCUUUAUAGAAAGGAAUUGCCUGAUUUUCCACUGGGCAAGAAAUGAAGAAUGCUGGGUCCCCUUAAGGUUGAGCAAGGAAUUAAUUUAAAAAAGAAAAAAGAGGAAAAAAAGAAAGAAAAAAGAAGACAACUCAAAGUGUGCAACUUGAGCUUUUAUUGAACUUAUUAAAAAAACAAAAACGAAACAUUUUCCUGACCUUUGUAAAUGUUCCCAUUUUCUCUUAAACAUCAUGAUGUAGUAGUGAAAUGGCUUACAAAAAUAGUUGUCUGAAAAUGUGGCAUGGACCCUAAUUUUGUUUUCUGGAAUGCUUCUUGCCUUCUCACCAUGUUACCUGGCCCAUGACCUGAGUCUCCUGAGCAGAUAUUGAUGAAGUUGCUGCCUUGGUCCCCAUGCCCUCCUCUCUAAAUCAAUUCAGGGUUUUUGUUACAGCUGAGGAAACAACUCUUUGGCCUUGACCUCAGUGGUUAAAUUAAGUGAAUUGCUAGGGUGAACGCAGCAAGGAAACAGGCCAGUGCAUAAGUUUUAGUCCUGCUUAAAUGCUUGGUACCUUAACUGCACUCCAGUUCCUGAAUCCCACUAGAUAAUCCCAGUAUGCUAAAUUGUGCUAACUUGGUCGUGAGUGGAGGGCCAGCCCAAGGCUGCAUGUGGCUUUCCUAAUAAGGCUACUUGUACAGUGUCAGAAUUGAAUGAAAUUUGGCUGUUCUCCAGAGUAGACUAUAUACAUAGAUACACACACAUAAUUUCACUACUUAAUUGACUUAAUGUUCACCACUUGGAGAACAUGACCAUUUACCUAUAGCUCAAAUAUACUUCUCUCACAAGAACAAAUUCCUAUGGAAACCAGUGAAGAGAAGCAUAUAUAUUAUUAAAUUUCCUUUAAUUUGACUGUUUUGUUUAGUUUAUUGUUUGUACUGAUUCUUGAGCCUAGGCACAUAGAAAAUAGUAAUGAGGAGUGCUUAUUUUUGUGGUUGUGAAGUUUGGCUGUCAAUGAACAUUAAUCAAUGUAUGUUAUUCAUUCAUUCAUCCAUUCAUUCAUUUAUUCCCUACCUCAUUCCAAAAAUAAGAGGUAUGUUUUUCCUCUCAAAUCCCAUGGCUAGCAUGUCCAACUAGCUUUUCUGUUAGCAUUAGGCUAACUAAGCCUAUUUUCGGUUAUGAAGAAAGACCCAAGUUUGUGGCAUAACAUUUGCAACAAAGGAAAAUAAAAUGGAUGAAGAACUCAAGGACAUUCCAGAGAAAUUUCUAGUGACUGUCACCAGGAUACCUAGCUUAUCUAAACUUCAGCAUGAAAUUGAUAUGUGUGAAAUUUCUUUUAAAGCAGCUAAAAGCUAUUGAACUGAGCAGACUCAGACAUAACUGAGCUCCCUUCAUUGUCAGAGUCCCUAUCAGGUGUAGGGCCCAGGCGUGGUUUCUUGGUGGCCCAGCUCAGUUCAGCUCACAAAAACCUGCUUUGGGAUGGAGGCAGAAUUACUCCAUCAUGAUGCUCAGAACACUCAGCAUCAUGUCUCCAAGGGCAUCCUCAUCCUUGAGUCUUCACUGUAUAUUAUUACAGUGCUAUAAUUAUUGGGAGUAGGCUGCGGUCUAUAUCAGAAGCAGUCAAUUCACCUGGCUUCUCCUUAGAGUCCUAAAAAUAUUUCAAAAUUGUGUCCAUUCGUGCUUUGUUCUCCCACCCCUCUUUUAGUCUUCUAUCCUUGGCAUUUUCUGUUUUCUUUCCUUUCUUAUCCUGUGUGGCCCUGACCUUACCAACCGCCACACACAGAGAAGCAGACUUCCUGGUUUAGCUAUUGAUUUUAGGGUAAAGCUUUUCACUUUAUGCAUUAAUUGGUGUCUGUGUCAUGUUCAACACAAGAGUAACUUUCUGCAUGGCACCAAGGGCUGGCUAAUGAUCAAAGAAAACCCCAGCAAAAGGACACCCACCCACUUCAGGUGUGAGUUCUUUUGGGGUUUCUCAAUUUCCUUUCUUGGGGGACAAGACUGGAAGGGAGAAGAGGAUCGGGAAGUGCUUUGAGUAGAGGCCAAAUAUUCAAGUCUUUGCUAAAUGUUGGGUAUAAUAAAUUUAGUACUCACUGCUGACUUGUUUCUUAAUAACAUUUCCUUAAGUGUUUGUGGGCCAUAUUGUUUAAAGGAAAGUUGCCAAGUUAACAGCUUUAUUUCUGAGAAAGAGAACUGAAAAAGAGUCUUCGUGUUUUUAUAUUUUGUAGGAGAAUAUGUAUAAUAUAACCUGGAUGACAAUAAGAAACCAUAAAAGUUGUAUGUAUGUUCAUUACAUGCCCUAUUUAGGCACUCUCUUUCUUAAAAGACAAAAUAAAUAAAGAAAGAAAGAAACCGUGAAGGUGAUAUUUUGUCCUAUGAGAACAACCGAUGCUUGAGGAUUAUUAACCCUGCUGUGUUGGUUAUUUUACAGCUCAGCUAAUUGGCUAAUUAAGCUCUUCAUUUCCUGCUUAUGUUUCUUCAGUGAAUUGUUGUGUGGAUUAGAGAGCAAUCUGGGUUCCUCCAGAGUGGCUAUAUUUCAAUUGGUGAUUGAAUUAUUUUUCUAAGUAAUGUUAUCAUUGUUUUCUGUAGUGUAAAUGGCAUUGUCAUUUUGUGACCGUAAUUACUCAUGUUACAGUGACCUGGAAUGUAAAGACCUCCUCAUUCCCAGUGAUUUGUUGUUUAAGUCCAGGAAAAUGUCCUCCUUUCUGCCCAGACACAGCUGAAGCUCCCUGUAGCCAGGGGACGUAAGCGAGGAUUACUGAAGGUAAAGAGGCCAAGGAAACAAUGAAGUCACCCAGGAGAGAGGAAGAAGACUCUGAGCCACGUGCCAAAGACCUUGUUAAAUGUGGCCAAGCACUCAUCAAAUAUGCUUUCUGAUGGCUUUAAAUUACUUGCCUUGGCCUUUACGGAAGAAGACUGGAGCACUAUUCAUAUCCCCUACUUUGUCCUCUAAACUGGACAGGUCUUAGGCAGACAGUUGGAGAAUGGAAAAGGAAUACCACACUGAAACCUGACAGGCUAAUUCAGGGCAGAAAGUGGUCUGGCUUAAAAGGUUCCCCCCAGGUGUUCUGAAGAAACGAAAGGGUGAAAUUGUGAAAUCAAGGGACUUGCCAAAAGCACUCUUUAGGAAGAUAGGAUGUGGGACACUCCCAGGGUUAACUCUGAGGACUAUAGACAGGUAUUGGGGAGCCUCAUAGACCCUGUCAGUCACGGUGGAGUUACCGGAUAUGCCUGAGUUGAGGAGACAGCAUAGCACUCCCUGGGAAUGUACUCCAGGUCUCAUUGCUGUGGACAAUGACCCGAAGGCUUGUAGGCAUAAAGACCCUCCCUGGGUGCUGGAGUCAGAGCCACCGUGACUCCUACCUCAGUCACAGCACAACUCGGAGUCGUGGUCUCCUCACUGCCAACAGGGAUGAAUCCUCCAACUUCAUAGACCCUCGUAGGGUUCUUCUCAGUCCUGUUUGAAAGUGCCUAGCAUAUUUCUAACUCUGUAAGUGCGUGCUUACUGAAUGAUGCUGUAUACUUCUGCUAGCAUUGGACAAGACCAUUACAGAAAAUGGAACUUACCAUUAUGGAAAAACCAAGCAUCCAGUUUGUUGUGCUGAAUCUGGGCCUCCUCAAGAAAAACCUACAAUAUGGAGGGAGAGGCAUUCCAAAGAAAGGGCUUCCCUGUGAAGAUGGCAGUUUAGGUCCUUCAGUCUGACAAGGCAGACACUUAGAGAAUGUGACAGAAUCUGUAAAAUAAUAAAGACAAUGGUUGAGGUAAGUGGCCUUGUCCUAUUUGAAAUUUGAAAGUAGUAAUUUCCAGGUAUACACUACAUUAUCUCAUGAGUAAAAAAAUGCCAGGAGCAUGUUAACCCAUAAGCUGUGUGAUAGAGGCUGAACAUAGAAAUCUAUACAAAAGAGAACUGGAUAGUUCCUUAUUUUGAUGUCAUAAAGGCCAGCCACACUUUCCCCAAACAUCCUGAAUGCCACUGUCACUGGCAACUGACAUUAACACUAAUCUGAAUGGACCCCAUUUAAUGUAAAAAAUGUUUAUUGAGCAUUUUCUUAGGCAGGACAAUGUGGUGGGUCUGUGGGAAGCCAAAAUGUGCAAACACUUAAUCUACUUGAGAUAAACUGUAUGUGCAUAAAACAUUGAAUAGGUCUCUAAUAGACUAACAGCGCAAAAGCAGUCUUGUUUAUGAAGAAAGUAAUAGGGUAGAUGGAGAGUCAGAUUUACUGUGAAGCAAAUUAAGCUUCAGUUUUAGACCUUUUAUUUGCAAGGUCCCUUCCAAGGCCCCGUGCCCAGUUUUGCAGUCAUAGUUGCAUAUAUAUUCCUUUUAUUAAGGAAGGCACCUCAAAUUGUUUAUGCUUCAGGCCCCACAAAACCUGUAUCUGACCCUAGUGCAUUAACUUCGAGAUGAGGGAUUCGUUGUGAGCACCUGCAGGGAGGGACACUGUCUCUGCAAAUGCAGCGCCUGCUGCCAAGCACAGAGGACUUCUGCUAGACGUGACCUUAUUCCUCCUCAUUCCCUAGAAUAUGUAGGAUGCACCAACCCAUUCUUUUCAGAGAAAAAGAAUCAAGAGAAUUGGAGCAAGGUCACAGGAUGCUCCAGCUAGAUUUCAAGGUCUUGAAGUGGUUUUGCUUUCUCUUUGGCUUUCUCAGGCCUGUGCAGCUAGGUUCCAUUUUAGAAUGGCCUCUUGGGAGAAGCCAGCAUCCCACCCUACACCCACUAGAGUCUCCUGCUGUACCCAAUUCUGUUAAUUCCUUUGGUCCCAACUCCACGGUGCUGUGCGUAUCUGAGGGGCCCUGGUGUUCCCGUGAAGUUUCCAUGACUAAUACUGGUAAAGCAAGGAGAGCCUUUCUCACGUCAACAAAGCCGCUCUGUCACAGAAUAGUGGCAGAUGGAGCCAAAAUUCCACCUUGGCAUACGUAAGGGUUACCGCCCGCCCCCCACACCACCCAAAAAGAAAAAAAGUUGAGAAGGAAAAAGGAUGGAGGGCACGAUUCACUGUAGUGACUGACGGUGUAUUAAGAUGCAGUUUUGUGGCUUUGCUUACAGGCUUUCUCCUCUGCCAAAGAACAUUGUUCUUCCAGAAGUUGUUUUACUUCAGAAGACUUUUAAAACAUUAAAAGUGUGUUUUAUGUUCAGACGUAAUGCUGGUUGGCCCAGAGACACACUGUCACCUCUAGAGGUGGUUAUGAAAAUAACUUGCUUUUCCCUUUUGCUUGCAAAGGAUCUUUUUCAGCUGCAAAAAUAAUUGCUGAUUUUUUUAAAUCUUGGAUCCCAGACAGCACUUUUCUAGCUUUGAUUUGUAAAGAGGCAAAGUGGAUUAGAGGAAAGAGGGCUGGAAUUAAAGUCUAGAGACCUCAAGCCAGGCCCCGUGAGGUCUUGGACCAGUCACAUGUAACCAUGAGUCUCGGUUUCUUCCUGGUAGAAUGUUAAAUCUGGAAGGGCCUUAGAGAUAACCCCUGCCUGUCUAUCCUAAAAGACUUUGAGAGUCGAAAAUAAUAGUAACAAUUAAAGACUAACCUAACUGCUGUACAAGUACAGAGUAUCAUUACCGUGCAGUGGCUGGCAGUAGCUCAGAGAGGAAUUAUUUCCCUGGUAAAAGUCCCUGGUUGGUCUUUUGCCAAAGGGAGUUUGCAUUCUGAAAAUUAACCAUUAGACCAAACCCCCAAUGCGUGGCUUGUAACACAAUGAAAACAAGUCAGGGAGAUGAUGCAGAAGGAUAAAGCUAGAAACCUGAUGUUUCUCCAUUGGAAAUAAGUAUUUUGUUAAUUUCUAUCAAUCUUUCAGGGUAUUUACACUUCCAGAGCAUGCCUCCUCUCCCCAAUCAAUCACACUGUCACAGGAGCAUUCAGACUGGCAUGUUCGUAUACCUGUGACCUCACACUCCUAGAGAAUAUUCAUGUGCCAAUGUGGUUAUCUGUACGUAGAUGAAAUUCUCAUAGAGCCUUGGGACCUGAUUUCUAAAAUUGUUAAAGUGGUAAAGCAAACAUUUCUGUUUCGUUUGCAAGAACUGCAUUGUGCCCUGUGACCUCUCCCUGUGCGCACCCUUGUAGCUGUACCCUCUCCGCACAGCUCACUCCCUUGACUGUUCCCAGUAAGGGAGUAUCCAGGCUCUGGGGUCAGGCUGACCUGUAUUCCAGUCCUGACUCACUAGUUAUGUGGCCUCUGCACAUCACAGAGCUUUUCUGAAUCUUAAAUCCCUCUCCAUCUGUUACAUGGGACUAAAAAUAUGGAAACCUGCACAGACAUUGUGAAGACAGAGCUAUUUGCGAAGAACCUCACUCGGCUGCAGGUGCUCUAAUUAAUAUUAGCAGUGGGCUUUAGACCACUGUCACUCCCCAGAAGAUUCCUGCCUUAUCCCUGCCUCCAGCCUCUUUCCAUCCCGGCUGCUCUACACUUUGAGUCAGAAUUUCUAAGUUGGAAGGGACUGGACACAGCAUUCCAAAGCACUACAUUCAUCAUGUCAUCUACCCCAUCCCAGACUUCCCAAGGCCCUUACUGCCGCCUCAGAUCAGCUGCAAGACCUCUGCUUCACGUCUCUCUUCCUCACCACGCCUCUCCCUGCUGGGCAGCCAUUACCACAUCCUAUGAGCACUUUCUUGCUGUGUGCAUCCCCUUAAGAUGUUCUCUCCCACUGAGCAUCAGUCACUCGGCAGAUGGAUAAGACCACCUCCUACUCUAAUGAACUUUCCAGGAGCUUUGUG